GAGGGUCGUGCUAAAUCUGGGGUGGGGUGUCUGCACUUGUAGAGAAUCCCUUUAAAAAAAUAGGGUCGCAGAUCUGAUUUGCACUCUUUUCAAACGCUCGUUAGUUCUGGACCAGCCAGAAUGAGGCGAGUGGAGGGCAUUUGUUACUGAUAAUGAAACUAUUGAACAAAAACCCUGUCCAUACGCAUGUUGUAGGCACUGGUGCAGCCAUGGAGAGGUUCGUGGUAUAGCCCGUGUAUGAAGUUAGCAGCCUGCUACACCAUUCAGGCUGGUUUGGGGCAUUCGUAGGGGUGGUCGUUGCUUGUUUCAGUUCACGUCUUCCCUCCUUCCAUGGUGUAACCAGAAGUCUCUUCUCCCAACAGUUUGAGAAACUUGCAAAGAGCUGAAGAUGAGAGACAGAAGCCACUUUGCAGCUUUAUAUAGAUCUUUUGCAUUUCCUGUGGGAUUUUAUGUGAAUUUUUGUGCUCUCUGUGGUGCAGGUGAUAAUGGGGAAGGAAAGAGUGGUGACAGAAAUUCAUGUAAAGCAGGAGAAUACAUUUGAGGAGGUCUGAACUUCAAAGAGGUGUUGAUGGUAAUGAAAAUGCUGGGUGCUCAGCUUGCUGAAGAAGGAGUUGCUGAUGCAAAUGCUUCAACUCUCAGUCAGGCCCCAGGAAAAGCACAUGAAAACUGCUGUGAGAGGAGGAAGCUACUUUGCAGUCCAGGAGUGCUUGCUGUGCUACUCCUACCACUUCACUGCUGGUUUUCUUGAGGACAGAUGCAUUAGCUCAAGUGCCAUGAGAUACUAGAGCUGCGCAGAAAGGAGAGAUGGGUAAGCAGAGGAUCUAGGUGCUCCAGAGGGUUAAAUCCUGGGGUGCUCCAACAGCGGUAGGACUAACCUCCUCUGUAGUCCCAGGAUAGAGGGGAGGAGUGUGACAGGCAUAUGGAAGUGCCCAUUUCUCCACUGACCGCAGAGGGGGCAUCGGGAGAUUGUUCUCAUGGAGUUGAAAUUAGCUUUUGAAGGUAGCCACCUCUCUCUUUCUCAUUCAGAGAAAUGUCAUCUGCUGUUGGUGGCGUGUCCUGUGGAAAAGUGAGAGACUGAAGGAAGAAGCAUCUUGGUGGGUACACUAAAUCUACCUGAAGAGCCUUACGCUGCUUGUGGGUGCUCGGGCUGGGGCACCCCGUUAUCCAGCAGUCCCAGGGCAGCCUGGUCCAUGCUUCAGCGGAUGGAGCCGUCAGCCUUGUUGGGAGGGAAGAGGAACCGAGGCAGAAUGGUCGAUGCCAACAUUUGCAUGCAUCCAGGUCUCUGACCAUUAUCCCCUGGUCUCAGCAGAACAGCAGCAGAGUAUUUAACAGCUUCAUUAAUGCCAGAGUAAUAAUUACAUACUGCAGGAGUGGCUAUUGCAUCAGGAAUUUUUGUACCAGAACUGCAACUGCAUUCUGAUUCUUGAGAACUCAAGAGCAACAUUUGUAAAGGUAUAAAAUUAGUGAAAAAUAUUAUGUAAUCUGAAUCUAAAACAAUACUAGUAUCUUAAAAAAGAGAAAAUGGGAGCCUGUGACCUGGCUGCACUGCAGAACAGGUAGCUUACUCAGCGUGGGGUUAGUUACAGCUGCUCAGAAUAACAGUUUCACCCUCCACCCCUUCACGGAAAAGACUAAGGCAAAAGUGCAAGCUGUUGGCUGGGCUGAGUAAUUAAUCCACAGAGAAUGGCUUACCCAAUGAGUCUGCUUUGUCUGUACACAGAUUUGAAUUAUAACAGUAUUUGAAAUGAUGCAUUUUCAUUUCUUUCCUUGCUACAACAUGAUCACAAGUUACUGCUGUGAAUUUUUUCAGUGCAAUAUUCAGAACUGUGUUUCAUAUUUAUAAUUGGCCAAAUAAUCCAGAUGCCAGCUUCUGUUUUCUUUGUGAUUAUUUAUUAAUUGUGUUCAUUACAUUUAUAUGUAUAAAUGUAAUAUCUAAAUAUUCUCAGAGUUAUCAUACUAG